GCAUAUCAAUAAGCGGAGGAAAAGAAACUAACAAGGAUUCCCCUAGUAACGGCGAGUGAAGCGGGAACAGCUCAAAUUUUAAAUCUGGCUGCCUUCGCAGUCCGAGUUGUAAUUUGAAGGCGUCUGUCGCUUGUGAGACGAUGGCACAAGUCCUCUGGAACGUGGCAUCGUAGAGGGUGAGAAUCCCGUCUCUGGUCGUUGUCUUGCAGGCACACGGCAGGCGAUCCGAAGAGUCGAGUUGUUUGGGAUUGCAGCUCCAAAUGGGUGGUAAACUCCAUCUAAGGCUAAAUAUUGGCGAGAGACCGAUAGCGAACAAGUACCGUGAGGGAAAGAUGAAAAGAACUUUGAAAAGAGAGUAAAACAGUACGUGAAAUUGUUGAAAGGGAAACGCUUGAAGUCAGUCGUGCCGGCGGGGAUUCAGCGAACUUCGCGGAGUGAGCGUAUUUCCUCGCAUGGCAGGUCAGCGUCAGUUUUGCGCGUCGUGAAAGGGCUCGGGUAAGGUGACUCUCUUCGGGGAGUGUUAUAGGCCUGAGCAGAUGCGAUGUGCGGGACUGAGGAUUGCAGCGGACACCCUUCGGGGCGCGGCGACCGAUCCCUGCUCUGUCACCUUCGUCCGAUAGCGUGCUAACGGUCGGGGGAGCGGCGGUUGCACCGGGUUGGCAAGCCGGCGGCUUCGCUAAGGAUGCUGACGUAAUGGCUUUAAACGAC
rnacentral:rRNA from 1 species